UGGUUCUGGCAUCGAUGAAGAACGCAGCGAAAUGCGAUAAGUAAUGCGAAUUGCAGAAUUCCGUGAGUCAUCGAAUCUUUGAACGCACAUUGCGCCCCCUGGUAUUCCGGAGGGCAUGCCUGUCCGAGCGUCAUUAAUCUAUCUCAAGCCCGGCUUGACAGUGGGUACCACCGCUACGACGGUCACCCCAAAAGAUUUUAACGGGCCCCGUACCCCGCGGACACAGCGAGCUUCUCAGCACGUGUCCCGGCGUCACGCGGCGGCUCUCAACCCCAUCUUAGGUUGACCUCGGAUCAGACAGGGUUACCCGCUGA
rnacentral:misc_RNA from 1 species